rnacentral:rRNA from 1 species
UACGUAGGGUGCAAGCGUUGUCCGGAAUUAUUGGGCGUAAAGAGCUCGUAGGCGGUGUGUCACGUCGUUCGUGAAAACCUGCAGCUUAACUGUGGGCGUGCGGUCGAUACGGGCAUCACUGGAGUUCGGCAGGGGAGACUGGAAUUCCUGGUGUAGCGGUGAAAUGCGCAGAUAUCAGGAGGAACACCGGUGGCGAAGGCGGGUCGCUGGGCAGAUACUGACGCUGAGGAGCGAAAGCGUGGGGAGCAAACAGG